CGAGCCAGCACCUCGUACGGGGCUCGUCCGAGUCCGCUCCGGCGGCCGGAUGCAUGAGCCCGCGAUGACCUCAGGCCGGGUUGGAGGAACACGCAUG
rfam:Chloroflexi bacterium RBG_16_72_14 RBG_16_scaffold_3964, whole genome shotgun sequence.